rnacentral:rRNA from 1 species
AGAGUUUGAUCCUGGCUCAGGACGAACGCUGGCGGCGUGCUUAACACAUGCAAGUCGAACGGAAAGGCCCCUUCGGGGGUGCUCGAGUGGCGAACGGGUGAGUAACACGUGGGUGAUCUGCCUCGCACUCUGGGAUAAGCCUGGGAAACUGGGUCUAAUACUGGAUAGGACCGCGCUUUAGUGUGUGUGGUGGAAAGUUUUUUCGGUACGAGAUGAGCCCGCGGCCUAUCAGCUUGUUGGUGGGGUAAUGGCCUACCAAGGCGUCGACGGGUAGCCGGCCUGAGAGGGUGGACGGCCACAUUGGGACUGAGAUACGGCCCAGACUCCUACGGGAGGCAGCAGUGGGGAAUAUUGCACAAUGGGCGCAAGCCUGAUGCAGCGACGCCGCGUGAGGGAUGACGGCCUCGGGUUGUAAACCUCUUUCGACAGGGACGAAGCUUUUGUGACGGUACCUGUAUAAGAAGCACCGGCUAACUACGUGCCAGCAGCCGCGGUAAUACGUAGGGUGCGAGCGUUGUCCGGAAUUACUGGGCGUAAAGAGCUCGUAGGUGGUUUGUCGCGUCGUCUGUGAAAUUCCGGGGCUUAACUCCGGGCGUGCAGGCGAUACGGGCAUAACUUGAGUGCUGUAGGGGAGACUGGAAUUCCUGGUGUAGCGGUGGAAUGCGCAGAUAUCAGGAGGAACACCGAUGGCGAAGGCAGGUCUCUGGGCAGUAACUGACGCUGAGGAGCGAAAGCAUGGGGAGCGAACAGGAUUAGAUACCCUGGUAGUCCAUGCCGUAAACGGUGGGCGCUAGGUGUGAGGGUCUUCCACGACUUUCGUGCCGUAGCUAACGCAUUAAGCGCCCCGCCUGGGGAGUACGGCCGCAAGGCUAAAACUCAAAGGAAUUGACGGGGGCCCGCACAAGCGGCGGAGCAUGUGGAUUAAUUCGAUGCAACGCGAAGAACCUUACCUGGGCUUGACAUAUACAAGAUCGGCGUAGAGAUACGUUUUCCCUUGUGGUUUGUAUACAGGUGGUGCAUGGUUGUCGUCAGCUCGUGUCGUGAGAUGUUGGGUUAAGUCCCGCAACGAGCGCAACCCUUGUCUUAUGUUGCCAGCACGUGAUGGUGGGGACUCAUGAGAGACUGCCGGGGUUAACUCGGAGGAAGGUGGGGAUGACGUCAAAUCAUCAUGCCCCUUAUGUCCAGGGCUUCACACAUGCUACAAUGGUCGGUACAACGCGUUGCGAGCCUGUGAGGGUGAGCGAAUCGCUGAAAGCCGGCCUCAGUUCGGAUUGGGGUCUGCAACUCGACCCCAUGAAGUCGGAGUCGCUAGUAAUCGCAGAUCAGCAACGCUGCGGUGAAUACGUUCCCGGGCCUUGUACACACCGCCCGUCACGUCAUGAAAGUUGGUAACACCCGAAGCCCAUGGCCCAACCAGUUUCUGGGGGGAGUGGUCGAAGGUGGGAUCGGCGAUUGGGACGAAGUCGUAACAAGGUAGCCGUACCGGAAGGUGCGGCUGGAUCACCU